AAUAUAAGUGUAGCUUAUCCUUAGGAAUAGUGGCAAAAUUGCAUUUCACAAAGCUUUAGAUAACAUAAUAUUAUAUAUGUAUUUAAUAGGUAAGCUUGGCCUGGUCAUGGGCUGAUAAUAAUGAACCACACACACUUAUUGCAAUUCUAAAAUCAAACCUAUAUCCUUUUGAUACAAAGUUUAAUUAAUAACAACAAUAAAUACAUAAUUUACAUAUAACUUAUUGUUAUUAUUGUAUACUUUUAUAGGGCCAGACUUAAAUGAAAAAUGCAGAAGUAAACAUUUAAUAAUUAUCUUUAUUAAAGAUGUGAAUCAAUAAAUUUUCAUUUUCCAUCAUUCAUUCAAUUAAGAUUUGUAUAUAUUUUCCAUUGUUAUGGACUUCAGAGUGAGUGACCACCUUACAAUACACUGCACUCACUCCUACUACUUCGAUAUUAAAUGCUGCUGACUUUUCAAGGUAUGAGAGUCUUCCAAUUACUGGGCCCCCUACUACGACUAUCGGUGGAAUUCAUAGUCGUAGUAGGGGGCCCCUAAGGGGAUUAUUCAGCCGCUAUGUGUCGAAUUCAACCCCUACGCGUUUCAUAGACAAAAGAAACCCCUCAUUUGACAGGAGCUGGCGGCUGACUGCUGAAUUACCGAUAUUUGUCAGCCAAACCAUCCCCUGGCAUUUUUUUUUGUUGUUAUUCGUGAUUUAUUUAUUAGAAAGUGGACGUUCGGAUCGUUAUAAGUGAAGUUAUAAACAGCGAGUUAUAUCAGUGCCCAAGAUAUAUAUUCGCAAUUGCGUAAACCCAGUAUAAUACUAUGGCGAUAUGGAAUGUACGAAAGAUUCUCAUAUUAGGCAUAAUAUGUCUCUGUUUGAUGAAGAAUGAACACAGAAGACCAAGAGAGGAAUACCAAUACCGCUAGUAUUAUACAUUCUAGCAGCACUUCGAUUCUAUGAAACGGGAUGUUAUCAGACUGUAGGUGCAGUCCAUCAAGCAUUCUAUGAAAUAACAGAAAUGCCAAAAGUCAAGCUGUAUUGAUGUCACGCAUAGGUAUACAUAUAAACAACCCCGGAGGACCCUAUACACAGAUUUAAAGAAACCGGCUAUCAUGGCAGGGAAUAGCAGUGAUGAGCUCUGAGAAUACUGUUUUACCAAGAAUACUGAGAAUACUUUGGUCCUUGAAAAUCUGAGUUUUCA